rnacentral:lncRNA from 1 species
CUCUCUCACAGGUAUACAAGGUAAGUAUCAAAGAUUUGUUUCCUUCUGUUUUUAAGACUGUAUAGUAUUCCAUUGUGUAUAUAUGCCACAUUCAUUCAUUCAACUGCUAAUGAACACUAAGGUUGAUUUCAUAUCUUGACUAUCAUGAAUAAUGCUGCAAUGACUAUGGGAGUGCAGAUACCUCUUCAACAUGUUAAUUUCAGUUCCCAAUAGGGAUAUCACUUUGAAUCCUAGACAAUCAAGGCUCAGCACUAAGACAUUCUGCAAAACUUCUUCCUUUCUUUCAGUUUAGUAUAUUCUAUCCAGAUGCCUAAUUUAUUGGGUGGACCCCAGAACCUUAACACAAUUCUGAGGUGGAAGAAAUGGGGAACACCAGGCCUGGCCUCAUGGAGACCGGGGAGUCAGAACCUGAGCUCUGGCUCCUGGAGCUGCUGCGAGUGAGUGGUGGAAACCUGCCCCCUUAGAGAAGCUGCAGCUGAUCAGCAUCAUGCAAGGGACUGCUGAGAUGGUAGCAUGCUGGUAAUGAAGUGUUAUGGAGCCACUCCAUCCUUUAUUCAUCCUUUUCCUCAUACACACAGAGAGCAAAGCACAGGAACCAGCUACAGAAUUUGCAAGUGGAGAAUCCAGGUACCUUUAAAAGUCUAUUUAGUGAAAAUCUCUGGCUAUUGAUGUGACGGUUAAUUUUAUGUGCCAACUUGGCUAGGCCAUGGUACCCAGUUUUUCAUAAAAGAUCAGUCUAGAUGUUGUGAAGGUAUAUUUUUAAAUGUGAUUAACAUUUUAUUCAGUGGACUUCAAGUAAAGCAGAUUAUCCUCC